GAAAUGCGAUAAUUAAUGUGAAUUGCAGAAUUCAGUGAAUCAUCGAGUCUUUGAACGCACAUUGCGCCCCCUGGUAUUCCGGGGGGCAUGCCUGUCCGAGCGUCAUUGCUGCCCUCAAGCACGGCUUGUUUGUUGGGCUUCCGUCCCUGGCAACGGGGACGGGCCCAAAAGGCAGUGGCGGCACCAUGUCUGGUCCUCGAGCGUAUGGGGCUUUGUCACCCGCUCCCGUAGGUCCAGCUGGCAGCUAGCCUCGCAACCAAUCUUUUUAACCAGGUUGACCUCGGAUCAGGUAGGGAUACCCGCUGAACUUAAGC
rnacentral:misc_RNA from 1 species